UACAGAGGUCCCAAGCGUUGUUCGGAUUCAUUGGGCGUAAAGGGUGCGUAGGCGGCGCGGUAAGUCGGGUGUGAAAUCUCGGGGCUUAACUCCGAAACUGCAUUCGAUACUGCCGUGCUUGAGGACUGGAGAGGAGACUGGAAUUUACGGUGUAGCGGUGAAAUGCGUAGAUAUCGUAAGGAAGACCAGUGGCGAAGGCGGGUCUCUGGACAGUUCCUGACGCUGAAGCACGAAAGCGUGGGGAUCAAACAGG
rnacentral:rRNA from 1 species